CUUUUUUUUUUUUUUUUUUUUUUUGGCUUCUUUUAUUAUCUGUAAUAGUCUUGGAGUUCUUGGAAUUAAUACAGAAAUUAAUGGGGUAGAGAUGAAAUCACGGAGAGCAAGUGAUGUGGUCCAUCAAUAGUUGAUUCCUGCAUGUCUUUUCGUGUUAUUUCUUCAACCAAAAAAGGAGGAGUCAAAAGAAUUAGUACUAAUAGACAACAAGUUGGUUGAAUAAGUUGCUCAAAGUAACGUUGGAAAUUGACAUAAUUUAAAUUAGCAGCUAGCCUGAUCUUGAUCUCACGAGAACCGUCAUUCAAUGAAAACUUUUUGCAUGGACGCAGAUCCAUCGGCAGUUCUCUUCUGCUGCUUCUUUCUUUUAGCCGUCUAAUUAUUCCUCAAAGCAAUUUCGUUUCUUUUUUCCCUUCUCUUUUUCAAAACUUGCCUGUCUGGCUCUACUAUUCUUAUCCUCCUUCCUUUUUUUUUUUUUACACCAGCAAAUUUAUUUAUUUAUUUUUGGGGUUUUGGGUAUGUAGGUAGCUGGGCUAGCAACGUUGGGUAUGAAUCUAAAGGAGAGAUGGAUGUUGCAUGUUGGUGCAGGUGACAUAAAGAAUUUCAAGUCCAACCUUAGAUUAAGAAUUUCUGUUCAUUACUUUUCCUUUUAUCUAAUUAACAGAAGAUUCCUUUUCCCGAGUUUUUGUCUUCUCUAGGAAAAGGUAAUAAGGAGACAGCGGAUAAGCUGUGAGAGGAUGAGAAGAACGGAAGAGGAAGAGGAAGACUACUGGGUAAAGUAUCUCCUAUCACAUAUACGGUACUACUACUUAAUUAGUACCGUAUAAUAAUAAUUAAAUAAAAAGGCACUGCAUCUUCCAUCUUCAAUCCGCAUCCAUCCCUAUUAACUUCAGUCGUUUUUGCAUUUAUAUAAAAUGCGUGAAGAAACUACCAACUGUCUGUACUACCAUCCCUCUACCAACCUAACCCAUUAUUAUCUUCGUCAUGAGCUACCCACCCAACCAACAGAACCCCCCCCCCCCCCCCCCGGGGCGGAGACCCACAAAAACCAAAAUAUGAAGGAAAAAAAAAGGGGUGGGGGUGGGGGGGUUUCCAAACUUCGUCCUAACACAUAAGUUGACACACGUCUGGAAAUUAAAACACUAAUAGGGAGAUUUAAUUAAAACCUCUCGUGAGUGUGUGUGUGUGUGUGUGUUUUUUUUUUUUGGUUCCUCCCUUUUCUGCAUUUAGAUUAGCAAGCAUUCCGAGUAGACUUAUGAUUUGAUCCACUGUCAUCGACGGUUGAUUCUCUCCUGUAGUAAUAGUAAGUAUUCCAAGAUAUAUUGAUGCGCGCGUUUACUAGUUAAGUUACUACGAGUGAUAAAUGUUUGCAUGUCAUAUGGUUAUUACGAGUUUGGGAUUAAAAUUUAUAACGCUUUUUUUUAAAAAAAAAAAAAAAACCUUUUGGAAAGACCAACUUCUUUUGUUAAGUACGAAUGGUUUUUUCCUCGAUGAAGCUAAAUAACGCUGCACGGAGGAAAGCAGAAUUUGCUAUACUUUCUGGAACCUAAUGCUCGCUUUGCCUAUGCAAUGCAAGGGUUCCUCUUCCCCCUUCCUUCCUCAUGAUGAAAGCUUGCAAAAAUCCUGUACUCUUGGCAUAAAGCAGCUGCGGUCAAAACGAGAAUAGGAAAUUGAGGGUGGAAAACAUACGCUCACUUGAAUAGGUGAUCGAUCUGCACAGUCUUAUAUAUCAUUCUAAAAGCUUUUUCGCAAGUUUUAGUCAUCUUCAUGACUUCAUCUUCUUCAUACUGCUUGACCAACUAAAGAAAAGUUUUAUUUACUUUAAGCAUUAACUAGUCGGGGACUUGAAUGUAGCAAAAGUAGUAUCGUGAUCCUGCAACCUAAGUUUUCUUCAACUGAAAAUAUAUUCUUAUUUAGGAAAAUGGAAAAAAAAAAAAAGAAGAAGAGGAGGAAAUUAAGGUGGGAAGGAAGAAGAACAAUUACUAUAUAAGAGCGAAAACAACAUGUUUAAAAUGAAAAAAAGACUAAUUUUGGAUGCUCAGCUCAGCUAUGUAUUAUCUUAUCCCCAUUAGUAUGUAUGUAUGCAUGGAUGCAUGGAUAGAUUAUUUUGGUUUUCAGGGUCUUCCCUCUCUUCGUCUGGCCUAAGUAAAAGGGUAAAAACUAAGAGAGGCCUUGAAAAAAAGGGAAAACAAAGGCCCCUUGGCAUUGGCAUAAUUGUGGAAAAUUCACAAGGAGACGAUUCAUACACCUAGGACUAGUGUACCUUUUUAUUUUAAUCCUUUCUUUCCUCCAAUCCUUUACCCUUUUUCAAAGGUGUUAGGUAGACACAUUAGAAGCUUCCAUAAGAUAUUUUUUUUCCUCUCACUUUCACUACCCAAAGAAAAAUUGCUUAACAAGGCUUAGGGGGCCUAUCUUUUUCUUUCUUUCUUUCUUUUGUCAAAAAAAUAAUAAUAAUAAUUGCAUGCCUCUCUCUCUCAAUGUAUUAAUGGGGUAAUUAUUGUUCUCUACCUAAAUAUACAAGUUCGGAGUCCCCAGCUCCCCGCCAACAUCACAUGCAGGACCCUCCCCCCCCAUCAAAGAUCAAAGUAUCUAUAUAACCACUCAUUCAUUUCGCCAUUAAUUAAAGCUGCAUGAGAUUUGUUUUGUCAUCAUAGUUUAGUACUUACUACUGAGUGUCUGAUUAGAUUGGAACGGCCAACGCACCAUGCAAACAAUACAUGCAUCUUCUAUCCUCCCUUCAGCAUCCAAAGAAUACGUUUUGACUUUUUGUCCAUCCUUCCCUGAGGCCCCCAUAGAGGACAUGGGACGUCUCAUAACGACUAGCGCAGGUUUGAUUGGAGCAUGCAAUGGAAGUUUGAUUGGAGCUAGCUCGCGCAGGUUUAAUUCUUUUGACAACGGAAACUUUCUUUAACCAUAAGUUGUUGCGUGCAUGGUCAAAUGGAUUAGACCCGUCUGCUACUACUCACAGUGUUUGAUUUUUAAUUCUUGAAAUCCGCUCCUCUUCCACACCAUCCUCACAAUAAUUAGCAAAGAAAGCCAAAAAAAAAUGAUACUACCAUCCUUGGUUUAGUUGGGGCCGUAGCAAGCGAGAGAUGAUUUAAAGUAAACAAAGCACUUGUGGACUAUCAUCAUUGACGAUGAUGAGAGUGACUUGGUACUUAAAAUUACCUCAGGGUACGUUUGGUUCUACAGAAUUAGAAUUGAAAUUCUAUAGAAUUGGAAUUCUAUGAAUUGAAAUUUCAAGUCAUUGAAAUUCUUUUGUUUGGGAAAUACAUAGAAUUGAUAUAGAAUUCAUUCAACGAAUUUGCUUAUCUUAUCGGCCAAAUCUCCCACGCUGUUGAUGUAAACUUGUCAGCUUUUUUUUUUUUUUUUUUUUUUACUUUUCUUCGCCACAACCGGAAAAACAAAUAUCGGUCCUCAUGUUGUUGUUGCGUGCUUUCCUUUUCUUUACCACGUUUCGUUUUUGGGUUUUUCUUGGUAGGGGGCCGGGGGAGAGGGGGCGGGGUGUGGGUUGAGUUGCUCGCCCAGCCCAUUCCCGUUCGGGGCUCCACUUCUCAUGGGCUCGCUUGCGGCGGAGGGUCCCAUCCCAUCAGCUGACGCCACCCCCAACCCUCUUCAGACUUCAGAGCGUAAAAGUCCAUGGUACCCGCCGGUACAGUAAGUUUCUGCCUUAAAUUGCCCAUUCGAUUUCCGUACCACCACCGGGACCCACGUCAAAGUUUGUUAGUGAAGCGCUUUGCCGUUACUUUAACAAGGGGAGCAUUAUAUUUAUUUACUUAUUUUAUUGCUAAAAGCAGACCCAUAUUGAUCAGAAAAAAAUAUGAGUUAGGUUAGGUGAAAAAGACAGAGCAGUAGAGUCCAGUCGACCUGAGGACGAAGACCAUAUAUUUGCUAAUUUCAUGCUCAGCUAAACUGCUAAAGUGACAUUUUAUUAUUAUUUUUCCUUUCCCCUUCCGCCUAUUCCGCGACGUGCCUCAUUUUUUAUUUUUAACUUUUUACCAACUGGGCUGCUUCGUAUGCUACUACUAGAACCCAAAAUUCCCGCCUACUCUUGAUAUUUUAAUUUUAAUCAUUAGAUCAAGUAUAUCUUACCAUUAUUAUUAGCUAAAAUUUGGACACUUAUUUCUUUUAAAUAAUGUAGCCGCUAACACUCUCUUUUUUUUUUUUUUUAUCAGCAACGAUAUAUUUGUAUAACCUAUUCUAUCCUAAUCUAGGGGGAGGGGGAGCCUAAGGAGGCUGUUGUAGGAGCUAACGGAUAUACAAAUCCAACUAGACCAAGGGAAUGUUAUGGUACAACUCUUAGAUUUUUUUCGCUGCUGGUGAGGUUUGAACUCUCACCAACAGUCCAAGGAAGGACUUAAAUCCCUCCCUGGUGGCCACUGAGCCAUUGGCGCAGUGGUUAGCCGCUAACACUCUCACCCCUUUCGAUCAUUGAAAAUUCUAUCCGUUUGGAUUAGCUGUUUUUGGGGUUGUUUUUCAAAAACAGCACUGUAGCAUUUCGUUUUUCAAAUACAAGUCCGUUUGGAUUAGUUGUUUUUGGGGUUGUUUUUCAAAAAUUAUAUAAAAAACUUUUACUGUAGAUGUUUUAUGCAUUAUUUUUAGAUGUAUUUUUAAAACAUAUUUUCGAGUAUUUUUAUAAUUUAUAAUUUUUAUAUUUUUAUAACAAUAUAUAAUUAUACAUUUAUAAAUAUUUAUAAAUAAAUAAAUUUAUAUAAAAAUAUAUAAAUGUAUUAUAUUAUAUAUAAUACAUAAUAUAAAUAUAUUUAUAAAUGUAUAAAUUAUAAAUGAAUAUUAUAUAAAUGUAUAAAUUAUAAAUUAUAAAUUUUAUAUUUUUAUAUUUAUAUACAUUUAUGCAUUUAUAAUACAUUUAUUAAUAUUUAUAAAUAAAUAUAUUUAAAUAUUUAUAAAUAAAUAUAUUUGUACUUUUAUAAAUAAAUAUAUUCAUAUAUUUAUAUAUAAAUGUAUUAUAUUAUAUAUAAUACAUAAUAUAAAUAUAUUUAUAAAUGUUUAAAUAUAUUUCGAUCAUUGAAAAUUCUAUAUUUUUGACAUACAUCAAGGUAAAUUCAUUGGAGAAAUAAAGGUUGAAGAGUGUGUGUGUAUUACAAUGGGAUUAAUCCAAUACAAUUCUAUUUCUGAUGAUGGUAUAUCAACUAUUAGUAUAUCUUUUUGACAAAAUACACACACAUACUAUAUAUAUAUAUAUAUAUCAAGUAUUAUACUAUGAAAUGGUCUGGAGGUCCCCACUCACACAGCUUCACUUAUGCACAUGAUGACUACAUGACAAAAAGAGUUGUUACAAAGCAUACGUACCUGAGACGGUAACAGGCCUCACGUCCACUUUUAGCAGUGCCACGUAGAAUAUGGUAAAUCUCUGACUAUAUCUUAUCAUUAAAUUUUUUUUUCUCCUGCUCAUCGGAGAGUGGGUGAGGAUCUAAUUAUUCAGGCCCAGAAACAUCACAUUUAUCGCAGAGUUCACAAGUAGUGUUCAUAGGGCCUAGAAUAGGUUGUGGCUGUGGUUUUGCGACAGGAAAGGGGAAUGGUUGUACAGACAAGUGGUAGGCAAUGGUCCUGGCGGGGAUGGGGGGAGGGGGGGAGUUGGUCAUUUUGUUGGCAUGAUCGACGGGGACUGCCAGACCUUUGUCUAAACAAACAAACAAACAAACAAACAAAGCUAAAAGGAGAACAAAAAAACAUGAGCUGCAGCUGCCAAAGAAAAAGACAACUUUUUGCCUCAACCUAUUACGGGUCCUGGGAUCAAAGCUCUUUGCCUCAACUUAUUAAGCCCCGUUUUCUUUUAUUUAAAGCUUAUUAAGCUCCUAAAGUAACCGAAUAUAGGAUUUUGGAAGGAAGGCUUUUUGAUAUCAAAAAAUUAUGGACGCAAUGCAAAACCUCCCAAGCCAAUUUUAAGUGAUUAAAACUUUACAAGCGGAACCAAGCUCUUAUUGGUAAUACCCCAAUACUGCUACUGCUUACUAUAUGUAUGUUCCAUAGGGUAGCGUAGGGUAGGAUACGGAAGAGCUGUCUAAUCUAAUCACAAUGUUCGAGUUUGCUUCCGUUUUGGUCAUACUACUGCAUGAUACCGACUACAUAUUGCUAAUGUCGCAAAAAAAAUAAUUAAACUUACGAGCCUAAUUCAAGUAGUAAACAAAAUCAAUUAGUCUAAAGAUACAAUAACGAUUGGAGCAUCUCUUUCUUUACCUUCCCCCUUCUAGAAACCACUUGGGUGGAGAUUUUGCAUUGGGUAGGUGGGCAGGAUUCUUGUGAUCCUUCCCCCAAAUGCACCUGCACCUGCUACUUUACUAAUUGAACCUCCAAAACCUACACACCACAUCCUCAAUAAUAAUCAUCAUCAUCAUGAAUGCAUAAAAACUACUACUGCACACUUGUUUUUUUUUUUUUUUUAGUUUAAAAUAAAUAUGGGGGUUCUCUCUUGUCAUAGAUCUCCACACAGGAUUUCUGGCUCUAAAUUAAUAUCCUGCAUGCUACUACAAGUCCAAUUUUAUCUCUUUAAGAGAUCUCGGCCAAAGGGUUAGGUGAGAGUUUAAAAACGAUGGCAUGAAUUCAUCUUCGUUCGAAGGUUGGAAGCAGUGUUUUGAAAAUCGGACCGGCCGGUUCGACCGAUUGAACCGCAAACCGGUCAUGGUACCGGUCCGGUUUAAUGCUAGGGUUGACUUUGGCAGAAAAUCGGUCAAAAACCGAUUGAACCGCGAAAACCGUCGAACUGAAUUUGAACCGGCGGUUUCCGAUUUUCAAGUUUUCCUCUUUUUUUUUUUUUUUAGUUUUACAAAAUGCAACUAUCAAGAUUUAAACUCAAGACCUUUGUAAUAGAAGACCAAUGUAGUAACCAUUGCACCAUCACAUCUUAUUAAUUUUUUUUGAUAACUUAUUUAUAUAAAACAAAUACUCAUAUUUCUUUUGUUCCAUUUUUCUUGCAAAAUCUCAUCCUCUCAUGACUCUUUUUUUUCUAAUUUUCAACUCUCUCUCUCUCUCUCUCUCUCUCUCUCUCUCUCUCUCUCUCCAUCAUCUUUUCUUUUGUCACUCUUUUUUAAUCAAACCUCUUUAUUUUUAAUUUAUUGAUGUUUUCUUCCAUCUUUUAAUUUUGUUUUUGUCCAUUAAAUUAAAAAAGUUAAAAAAAAUUAUUUUUCUUUAACUCAAAUUAUUUAAUGCCACAACCACUCACUUUUAUCUCAUUUUUUUGUUUCUUAUCAAAUUUGCAUUUCUAUUUUCGAUUCUCUUUUUUAAAUUGCAAUAUCUAAAUUCCAAAACGUAAAAUAAAAUUUAAGUUCACAAUGUCUAAAUUCUCAUAGACGUGAAUUUUGUAUAAUUUUAAAAUAUUGUGAUAUUUUUGAAUUGGAUUUAAGAUUUUUUUGAUAGAUAUAAUUGAAAUUGACAUGAAAUUUAUUUGUUUUAACUUAUAAUUUUAAAAUUUUAUUUUUAAAAAUCCAAAUUAUUCAAAAAUAGUAAACUUUUCAUCAUAUAAAGUAUUAAAUUAUCCAUUACAUGUCUUAUUUUGUGCAUAUAUAUAUUUAUAUAAAUUAUUUUUUAAAAAAUUCAUUGAACCGAGGUUGAAUCGGUUCGAUCGAUUGAAUCUCGACCCUUUUACUUCACCGGUUCAAUUAACCGGUCCGAUUUUUAAAACAUUGGUUGGAAGUUGGAACUUGGAAGGAGCAGCGGCCAGUACCGUUGUAGAUCCUCUUUUCUUCUUCUUCUUGGAAGAAAUGGGAUUCAGUGAUGAAUGAUAUUAUUAUUACACAGAUUUCACAUCUAAUACUUAGUGCCUCCUCUUUAGUCUUUUCAACCAAAUAACGUCUUGACUUUUCGAGGAUUAUUUUUUGACACGUUUUCAACUACUUUUUAACUUGUUCCUGAUACUCACAACUUCAAAAGAAAUUUUUCUAUGAAAACCUUCCAAAAGUCUCGAGAACUACCAUUCAAACAUGCUUUAAAAUUUUCUUCUGGAUGAGGCCGCGUGGCUUUCAAUUUCUAGGAAGCCCUAAAACUGAUCCUGAUGAAACAAAAAAAGUGGAAAUUGAGUUUUUUUUUAAAAACUGAAGGAAGGAAGGAAUAAAAUAUAUAUAUAUUUUUUUAAAAAAAAUGUGAAAUCGAGUUUCACUUUCCUGCUCUUCCAACAGAUGAGAUCACAGGAUAAGAGUUGAAAUCAUCUGUUGAUGAUAAAAAAGUAACCGUCACCAAAUUUGGAUGAGGAAUGUGAGGUCAUCAAAGGCAGACGGACUGAAAAUGCGCAUGCGGCGCGCACGAUAGCAGGAGCCCAGCCGGUGAGAGUAGUUAACGAGUUUGGUGAGAUAUGAUGAAAGUGAUGGGGCCCACACAAACAACAAAGCAGUGAUUACGGUCCGGAGCAGCACGGCCAACGGUUGACUCCUGACUAUCGAUGUUGACUUGUUUAUAUUAUCAUCGAUUCCAUGAUUAAUGUUUGCCUUUCAUGGCAGUCGGUCAUCUCAUCUUCUUCUUCUUCUAUUCUAAAAGUAAUCAGCCAACUCCGUCGGCUACCUUAGUAGUGGUAAAACACACAGAAAAUCGCAGCAGCAAUGCAGCCUUCUGAUCUAGAGGAUCCUCCCACGUCGUAAUAAUAGAUUCUAAUGAGUUUGAGUUUGAAAUUUUAAUACAUCUAAUCGUGAUAAUGAAAUUAAUUCUUAUGUUAUUAUCAGGGCACAAUAUCAUUAACUAAUGAAAAUACUCGAAGUUUUUUGUGUUUUUCUUCAUCCCUUUCUUGGCGUCAACAAGAGAGCUCUGUGCCAUUACAGAAUCCAACCAACCGAGUUCACGGAAAAUUGUGUUUUGAGAAUUUCACGGGAUGGAUUGAGAAAUUUGACGAAGGUUUUGAAAUCCAUCCAAAUUGCUCUGGUUGUUUGAAUUACUUAAGAGGUAAUUUGGGCUUACAAUUUAUCAAUUAUAUAAAUACAUUCACUUUAAAUGCUAGAAUAAUGAGUGAUUUAUAAAUUCAUAUACCUCCUCCCAAAUAAUCUAAACAACUAGAAAAAAUUCGACAAGAUCGAUUAUCACUCAAUCGAAACGCAUGCGUUUCAUGCUUUAAAAGUUUAAAACCCGUCAUCACACAAGUAGCUAAAAACGGCGGGACCACAGAAAGCAUUUCAUUGCGGAGCAAACAAAAGGUCUGGCAAAGAUAACCACAAAUCUGUGAGGAUGAAGCAGUCCAAACAAGGCUGCUAGCGAAUUACGCAAGACAAGAGCUUGGAGAUUGCAAGAUUCGCAGGGUGGGGGUGAAGGAAAUGAUCUUCACUUCAUGUGGAAAAUUGAGAGUUGAAAAAAAAAAAAAAAAAAUCUGCAGUUCGAAUCCUCGAGCACCUGCUUCAGCGUUAAUGCGGGUUCCGGUUCUGGCAUUAAAUUAAAUAGAUAGUGAAACGUAAUUAAUUGGGCUACCAUACUUUUAGUAAUUAAUUGGAAAACUAUGGCACACCAACUUUUAAGUGGAGUGGAUGUGUACAAUAUUUUAUACUACAAAAAAGUAACACAAAGAAACCAAUAAAAAAGAAAGAAAGAAAAGGUAUGUUGAAUUCGUCGGUUCAACUUGUUAACUUUCUUGCAUGUUUGGAUCUAACAGAGUCAGAUCCGAAGGGUGUUAACUCUAUUGUUUUGGAUGACGGUCGCCCUGGUUGUCCAGUUUGAUCUGUAGCCAUCCUUUCUUGAAGCCCAACAGCUGCAUUCAUGAAAUGGGCCACAGUGUUUAUGACACAUUUACCAGCACCAUGGAUCGGGAUGCCCAAAGGCAUAUGCUCUUCUCCCAAAUGGACUUUCAUGCUUUUAAGUGUGGCACAGAAUUAUGCUUCCCUACCCAAUCCUUUUUUUUUUUUAACGAAGAGAGCUCUGAUGAGGAAAGCAACCUCUCAAAACCAAGAGUGAGGUCGUCGCUUUACAGUUUGUAAUUUUCGGUUGGCUCUGGCCAUAAUUCCUUGGCGGGGUGCUUUCUAGCCCGCUCGUAUUGUAAAACCGAGCGCUGAAGUUCCCGGCGUGGCCAGUGCGCCUUAUUACUAAUGGGCUUUUUGUGUUUUGUUUGGGCCUUUACAUUUCAUUCGUUUGGGUAAUGCUUCAAUUUAUCUCUGGCUGCCGGGCGCAUCCCAAGCCAACGAAAAAAUUUGGGGGAGUGGCUUUUUCUUUUUGGGAACGGGGAGGGUGUGUUCGGAAAGGGGGAAAGCGCACGGUUAAAGACUUAGAAGGCUAUGCUCAAGCUCAAACCAAACUUCGAGUAUCAUGUAAAUUAUCUCAAGUAACACACUUCGAUGCAAAACAAUAAAAUGUUUGAUAAGAAAUAAAAAGACCAAAGUUUGUCACGUGAAAACGUUGUAGCGGUUGCUUGGAUCCUGCCUGAGAAGCCAGUACUUGACAAACAAGGGAUUAUGGUCUGAGCAAAUAACACAUAACAGAGUACAAAACACAGGCAUUUUCUAAGCAAAUAUUGCAGUCAAUCUAGGUUUCUUUUUGAGGAGCCUUCUUGGCAGCCUCUGCAGCUGCUUUCUCCUCCUCAAUUUCAGCAACAAUUGCAUCAAUUUCAGCUUCUUCAAGUUGCCUCAGCCCAUCUUUUUUCGUCAUCACAGCUACUUCUAUAUUCUUCCCACCACUCUCAACGACCUUAAUACAUGACAUUAACAAGUCAAAAGCGUGUGUAUUUAACUCAACAGAUCAAUAAUUUACUCCACAAAUAAAGCGACAAUGCCCAAAAAAAAAAACAAACGAAAGGCUAAAACCCAUCUGAAAAUGGUUAAAGGCAGCUUUUUUGGGCUCCAUUAUGGUAAUUAAACAUGUAAUCUGCUCAAUACGCUUUGUCACUCAACGUUGAACUAAGAAGUUCACGGUGGCAGUCUCAAAGGAAUUCAAAACGGAUUAUUAAAUAUAACAUUUCAAAAACUUUAUGAGCUCUGUAAAACAUUUAAUUGGUGCAGCUAAAUCAUGGUUAAAUAUGAAUGGGUCGAAAAAGAAGAGAGCAAUGCUGAAUUCCAAGGUGAUGGUCAUUACUGUGAGCACAAGAUGAUCACAAAUGGGUAACACAAGUAUUUAACAAAAAGAAUUCCCGUAAGACUGCAUUACUUGUUUGUUAACCAUAGCUGCUAGGAAAAAUUACUCCCUCAAGGACCUUUCUAUGCUUUAGGCUCACGGAAAUCUGGAAAGAGGAAUUGAGAGGGCCUUUUGCAAAGGAUGCGAGGAUGACAGUUGUUAUACAAUACAAUGAUCUUCUCAGAAAAAUCUAGGAUAAACAUAGGAGUAUUCACAACUACAGCAUAUGAAGCUUCCCUGUGCCUGCCAUGAAUAUAACAGCAGAACAAAAACAGGAGAUAAACAAAAAUUAGGAAGUCCAAAUUACAUUUACGUGAAAUGUACUGCUAUAUUCCAACAACACCCUAAACCCAUAAACCAAUUAGGCAUCCUUCCCUCUGUCCAAAAGGCCAGAAAAACAAAUGCAAACACAGGAUCAUAGAGCCAUCUUUUUUUUUUCCUCUUUUGCCAAUAAACCAUGACCAAAUUUAGCCUCAGAGCAUGAUAAGCAGGAGCUGCUUAAAAUUUACAAGAAAUUCCCAACAAGGGCAUGCCAGAGAUAUUUUGUUAUUUCAUUCAAUGAUUUUGCUUGUCAAUGCUUUAGGCAAUGCAAGUUGAGUUUUAAGUUGUAUCCAAAGUGCUCAAAAGCUUGCCUGUUAGAGAUGCACAAACCAAUACAGAUUUAAGUGGUUACAAGCAAAAGAAUAUAAGCCACAACCAUGUGCUUGCUAAGAAUAGUAGAUCAGAUGUUGCACAAAAUCCAAAUGAAAAGAGUUAAAAAGUCAUAGAGUAAUAUAGAAUAAGCCGAAAAAAAUUCCAAGACAGCAGCAGCAUACGACAAACAUAAACAAGGCAUUUGCUAUUUUGCUGGGAUGACUUACUUCAAGCAAUGCACGAAUAGCUAGUUUUACAGUUUCUUGGCCAGCUGUUUCCUUGUAAUUCUUCUCCAGAAACUCCCUGAUAGAGUUUGAGUUUCUCCCAGUUGCAUUGGCUUUCCACGCUGAAAAUGUUCCUGAAGGAUCUGUCUGAUAUAACGCAGGGACACCUGUGUAUGGGUCAAAGCCAAUUAUCAAAGUGGAAAGGCCAAAUGGUCUUACACCACCACUUUGUGUAUACUUCUGCUGAAGUCCAGCGAUGUAGCGCGUAAUAUACUCAACGGUGACCGGAUCCUCAACUGUAAGUCUAUGACUUUGACAUUCAAUACGUGCCCGGUUUAUCAAAACACGAGCAUCUGCUUUCAGUCCAGCACAGGCCAAUGCAAUAUGAUCAUCUAAAUUCACAAUCUUUCUAACCGAUCUGAAAAUAAGAACCACCAAUUAAAAAUAUUCAGCAAGAAAUCUAAGGCAGGCAGAGGGCAAACAAUAUAUAUAGUGCAACCAUGUUUCAAUAACUAAUAGCCAUUGCAUACUCACUUCAAACCUAAAAUCAUACUAAGCAAGAGAAUUAACAAGCAAUAAAACACACUCACAUGCACACAAAGAGGAAACGGGCUUAGCCAAGAAAUUUUGGCUGAUUAACACAAUUUCACAAGUACUUCAAGAAGAAUGAGCCAGGUUCCUCAGUAAUCAAUUUAUACACAAAUUAAAAAUUUUUCCGGAUUUGUUACCCCGGCUUCACCACUGCUCCCUAAAAUCAAAAAGCCCCCUUUUAUUUUUUCCAAGGCACUAAAAUCAAAAAGCUGACCGAGCACAGGUUAAUCUUUUUUUUUUUUUUUUUCCAAACGGAGAAUCAUUUCAGUACAAGAAAACCCGCAUCUUUCAUGCAGCCUUAAUCAAUAGAUCAGAUUAAAAUUAGAUUCCCUAGAAAAAAAAACUUCAAUUCCAAAACCCUAAAGCCUAAACCCAAAUUAGCUUGGUAACAGCCCACAAUAACCAACCAAAAGUUGCUCCGACUAACAGGGUACCCAGAAUUUCGAUUAAGUAACAAACCUAAACAGUAGCUAUGAAGAUGGAAUAUAUAAAAGAAAAGAACAAAAAAAAAGGGAUGGGUGAAUGAAUAGAUUUGAGAAGUUGGACCUACCUGGAGUCUUGAAGCUUAGGAGUAGACUUCUUCUCGACACCAAGGACGAUAGUGUCGGUUCCACGGACACCAACGGCGGCGUUUCCUUUCCGGACGGCCUCGAGGGCGUACUCCACCUGAAAAAGAUGUCCGUCGGGGGAGAAAACAGUAAUGGCUCUGUCGUAUCUAGCCAUCUAUCUGUGCCUGUAUAGGGUAUGCUACGUAUUCGUACAGUUUUUUUUGGGGUUGGGCUUGUGGUUUGGGAUCUCUGGCUCGACACUUUUAGACUUCCAGGGAAGAGAGAGAGAGGGAUGAAAGCGUGAAGAAGGGGAAGAGGAUUCAGAGGGAACUUGGGGGAGAAGUCACCAGUAGCACACGAUGUCGUUUCCAAUUACUUUUUGUACUACAAGUAACAAGUGACUAGUCCCAGUAGAACUAUAUAGUUUUUUUUUUUUUUUUUUUUCUUUAGCGGAAACCAAUGUUUUCAAACCCGGACCGUCAAUCGAACCGGUGAGGUGAAAGGGUCGAGAUUCAACCGGUCGGACCGGUUCAACCGGGGUUCAAUAAAUAAAUAAAUAAAUAAAUAUAUAUAUAUAUAUAUAUAUAGACACACACACCUAUGCAUAGAAUAAGAUAUAAAUGCUGAACCACAAUAAAUAUAAGAGCAAUAUCCAACAAUUAACACACACAAUUAACAUAGUUAUGAAACUUACAUGUCCAAUUGUCUAAAUAUUAAAAUUAACAAAAAAAAAUACAAGUCUAGAAAACAAUCAAAAGGUCCAAACGAGUCCAAUUUCUGAAGCUUCUAUAAUCUUCUUCAUAAUUCUGGGACAACAAAGCUUCAAAAAAAGCCAUCUUGACAAGUCAUCAUCAUCAUCCAAGACCAUUAUAUGAAUCACUGACAAGUGAUAAAAGUAUAAAAUCAUAUUAGUUUCAUCACACCAACUGAUACAAAUCUUAAAAAUAAAAAUAAAAGAGUACAAAUAAUUCUAUACCAAUUACCAUUUGAACAUUUAAUGCCAAUCAUCAUCUUCAUCAUUAAAAAAGUUUCGACGCUGAAAUGUUUCUAAAUCAACAUCUUCUGCUUCCUCUUCAUUAUCUAAAAAAUCAACAUAUUUAAUUAUAUACAUAUUCAACAAUUGAAUAUCAUAUCAUACUAGCUUUAUUUUUGCAUCAAACUAAUGAUUUAUGUCAAACUAACCUUCAAGUUGUUCAGAAUUUGAACAUUGACCAUGAAUUGGAAGUUCUUCAAGCUCUUCCUCUAACUCCUCAUAAUCAAGCUCCCCUUCUUGUUCUUCUUCAACCACCCAAAAUUCUGUUUUAUCAAUUGACUCAUAAUCAACGGGAUCAUACGAUCUCUUUUGCUGAUUAUGCCUACAAUAUAUAUAUAUACACACAACAUAUACACUUAGUUAGUACUAAAAUAUUUUCUUAAAAAGAAUGAAAUGUCAUUUAUAAAAAUAAACCAUUUACAUAUACCUAUACUGCAAACGCAAAUUGUAAUGCACAUAUACAAGAUCAUUGAGCCUUUGAUGCUCCAACCUAUUCCUUUUCUUAGUAUGAAUACGUUCAAAAACACUCCAAUUACGCUCACAUCCUGAAGAAGAAGCUGUUUGACUCAAAACCCGAAUUGCAAGUUUUUGUAAGUUGGGAGCAUCACAACCAAAGAGCUUCCACCAAUUCUCUGUCAUAUUCAAAAUUUAAAUAUAAACAAAAUAUUUAUAAAUUAGAUAUAUAUAUAUAUAUAUAUAUAUAUUAGAGAGAUUCAAAUGCUAGAAAAAUAUAAAUUACCUGGUCUAUCUUUCUUGCUAGUAAGAAUAGCAAGUUUUCUGCCAAAACUUCCCUCCCGCUCUCGAUACAUUCCAAUUUCUCUUGUUAAAUUUUCCACACUACACCAAUCCACCUUUGAUUCUAUGUAAUCCAACAAACCAUUUGUAAUUUCUGGAUGUGUAGAGAAUGUGGCGGUGUCAUAUUGAAAAGCGGGAUUUAAAAAAUAUGCCGUAGCAUGCAAAUUUUUCCUCAACAUCCUAUCCCAUCGGUCAUUGAUGAUAUCAAUGUAAGGCUUAUAUAGUCUUUCACUACUCCUGAACAACUUCUUGAUUCCAGUAAUUGCUCUAAACAUACCUUCAUACACAUACCCCAAAGAAGGCCUUUCAUCAGUGUCACAAACUCUCAACAACCGAAUAAUAGGACCCAUUAUUCUCACCGUAAUCAAACAAUUAUUCCAAAAUCUAUCAUCCAAAACAAUUUGUUUGACCUCUUUUCCUUUGUUCAUUUUCAAGAACUUUUUGUAAUCUCCGCUAGUGACUAAAGCUUGUAAGCUGUCUUUGUGAUCAUGUAAGCUCUUUAGUGCAAUAAAAGUGGUGGCAAAUCGAGUCUCCCCCGGACGAAUAAUCUCCCUCCACCCAUUAGUUUUUCUCAGCCAAUUUAGAACAUAUUUAUGAUUAUACACAAAAACAGUUACUGUAGCAGCAAGAGCCACUAGAGAUUUAACAGUACCCAUUUCACCAAUAUCCUUCAAAAUCAAAUUGAUACAAUGGGCAGCACAUGGAGACCAGCAAAUAGUUGGAUAUCUUUCAUUUAAUAAAGUUCCAGCAGCCUUAUAAUUGCUAGCAUUAUCAGUGACUAAAUGCACCACAUUUUUUGAACCAACCAUUUCAACAAUUUCAGCAAACAGAUUGCACAAAUUUUCUGCAUUUGUCACAAUGUCCGAUGCAUCUAUAGACUUGAUAAAAGAUAUACCCUUAGGACAAUAAACCAGAAAAUUAAUCAAUGGUCUUUGUCUACUAUCUUUCCAUCCAUCACCCAUUAUAGUGCAUCCAGUUUCAGCCCAAGUAUUUCGAAAUGAAUCAACAACUAACUGCACAUCUUUCUUAGCAUCUCGCAACAAAGUGACUCGCAAGGAAUGAUAAGAUGGAGCUUUAUAACCAUGACCCAUUGAUGCAAUUUGAUCGAUAGCUUUUUGAAAAAAUGGAGAAUUAACAGCAUUAAUGGGAAUACAUGCAUCAUAGAACCAAAGAGCAAUGGCCAUAUCAGUAUUUUGCCAUUUAUCCUUACUUUGCAAACAAGCUUUGAUAGUAGGUUGAGCACUAUCACGUCCACCCUUAAAGAAAGCAUGAAUACCUGUAGGGGCAGUGGUUUUUCUCUUUCCUUUACCUAAUGAUGUACCAGCCUCAUUCAUUGAAAUUUCCCUUAUUCGAGGAGGUGGAACCUCUUGCACUUCAUCACCGACAAAUUCGUGCACUGGUUGACCAAAAGGACUUUCAACCCCAAAAUCUCCUCUUUUUUCUUUAGAUUUUUUAUCAUUUUCUUGCAAACAUGUUAAUAUUGCAAGCCUCACUGCUGGAUCAACAUUUGGACAUGAAGUAACACUGCCCGUUACUCCUGCCAAGUGUUGCUUCAUUCGGUGGAUGCCACCCCCAUGAAACACUUUAAAACAAUAAGUGCAUGUCAUGGUUUUUCUUCCUUGUGCAUUUCUGCCCUCAGAAACAUAUCCCCAUGCUAUAUCUGUCUUUUGCCUAUGACCUUGGGGCUGACUUGCAGAUCCCUCACUAUUGAAUGGUCCCCCCGGUGAACAUUGUGAGUUACUACCGCUACCAGCCUCCAUCCUAAAAUGAGAUAUUUAAAAAUAACUAGUCUUAACAAAUAAUUAAUAUACACAAACUGAAACAAAUUAUUAAAGCUAUUCGUAUUUGGGAACUGAAACUGUCACCAAAAGAUCUAAAGGGGUUAAUGGAGACAAUGAAACAACCGUUUAGCACGAGUGAAGUUAAUUCCCUAAGCCUUGUGCAUUUCUUGAGGGUGUUAAGUAUCUUCACGAUAACUGGGUUGUGCACAGAGAUUUAAAGACAUCAAAUAUACUUUUAAAAAAUAGCACAGAGAUUUAAAGACAUCAAAUAUACUUUUAAAUAAUAGCACAGAGAUUUAAAGACAUCAAAUAUACUUUUAAAUAAUAGCACAUUGGGUGUUCCCAGAUCCCAAGUAUGCAAAAUGUAUAUCAAAUGAAGCUAUUUAACUGGAAGUGGAAUGAAAGUCUUUGCCCUUUAAACACUACAUAUAUAUAUGGUAUAUCACAUGUUUGAGAAGCAAAACGUGAGAUCAACACAUUUAAGCGAAUUGCUAAAACUUGAAGGAUAAUGUGUGUAAUGUUCAAUUGGUGCCCUUCCAUCCUUUAGCUCACUGACAAGAUCCAAAUCACAAUUAAUCACAAACAAGUAUAUAAGAACUCUUGUCGGGGUUACAGUCAGCUAAUAGAUUGAUCAGCAGAUUCACGAUACUGAAUUCUUAUGAAUGAAAGCAAUCAAAGUACAAGGGAAUUUGCAGCAAUUUAGGCAAGCGGAACUGAUAUUUCCAAAGGAUUGACAAUUGUAUAAACUCAAACACGUGAACAGGAAAAUAAGCAGCAGCUACAAUCAACCCGGUCUGAGUAAACGGAUAAACUGACCAGCAAAACACGACACUACAGAGAAUCAAUCACAAUCAGAGUAUAUCUACUCACAUAUGGAACAAUAUCUAGACAGAGAACAUGUUGAAAUUAGAAACGAAAUGAGGUAGCAAUUCAAAUUAUGAAGAUUUAGGACCUGAAUGCAGAAGGGUUGAUGUCCACCACCGGCGCUGCACCACCUCAAUCACCCUGCUCAGCUACACCACCUCAAUCACCCUGCUCAGCUGCACCUUCAGCCCACAGUCGACAACGAGCACCGCCAACCAGUGGUCAUCUACGCCGUUUCCCCAAAAGUGAUCCACACCACACUUUGGAGAAGGGGAAAAGGAACUAGCGAAGGAGGACCGAAGCGGCGAAGCGGCGAGGUGAAGUCACUGAAGUGCGAAGAGGAAGAGUGGAAGACUGGAGCCGUGGAGCGAACUAGCGAAGGAAGACCGAAGGCCGAAGCGGCGAGGACCGAAGGCCGAAGCGGCGAGGACCGAAGCGGCGAAGCGGCGAGGUGAAGCGGCUGAAGUGCGAAGAGGAACUGAGGAAGAGUGGAAGACUGGAGCCGUGGAGCGAACUAGCGAAGAAAUCAGAAAUGAAGAAUGAAGAUUAGGGAUCGGUCAAAAUUGAAGUUUUUGUCAAUUUUGACUCAAAAAUUGGAAACCGCGGUUCACGGUCCAACCCGGUUUUGAAGAUUUGACCGGUUUUUUCCGGUUUUGACCGGUUUCUUAUAAAAGUCAACAUAAGCUAUAGACCGGACCGGACUCAUGGCCGGGUCGCGGUCGAACCGGUCGACCCGGCCGGUCCGGUCCGGGUUUGAAAACAUUGGCGGAAACAGCUAGCCUAGCCUAGCCUAUUCCUACUCCUAAAGGGGGGACUACUUUUUUAAGAGAAGCGACUCUAAGGAAUGCGCCAAUUGAGUCGGGGGCACCAGACGGGAACUUAAUCAUCAUCUGAUCAGACGGGUGCACCACUCACCCGUAUGAAUUUAGAACACUUCUCAUAUUGAGACACAUUGAUGGGAGACAAGUUUGGAUUGCUGUUUAUUUGCCAAAAUAUAUUUACUUACAUCAUCAUUACAAUUUCCAACACACCUUUUUAUCUUCCCAAUUACCUUUUUAUCUCACAUACAUCACAUCACAAAAAAUGUUACAGUAAAAAUAUCUCUAAUAAUUUACAAUCCAAACAAACUCGUUUGAACCCUUGACCUCCCACCCCACUAUAUACAGUUUUCUUCUUUUUUUUUUUGGUGUUUUCUCCCCUUUAUAUUUUGAGUUCAUAAGUCGGUGAAAAAAGAUUUUGGACCCCGAAAGGCCAAAACUGAUUAUGUUCAGCUCAAUUAGUGUAGAAAUACAGAAAAUUUUCAAGCAUCUCUAUUUUUUUAUAGUAGUAUUUAUAUUGAUUCCAUAGCUAUGUAACCUUUUUUCUCAUUGUAGGUUCUUUUUUUUUUACAACUAAUUUAACUUGUUUAGAAGUAAAUAAAUAUGCCCAGCUAAUUUUAUUCCAAGUUUUUUGGGUUUAAGGUAAUGUAAGAAAGGGGAAAAAAAAAAAAAAGGAGGUAAGUGUAAUUGCACUCUCUUGUGGACUAGAUUUAGAUUGGGUCGGAGCUUUGGAUGGAAAAUGUUAAGAAACGCGGAUUGGCCCAAGUCCAACCACAUAAGCGGAGAUCAUUGUAACUGUAGUUAUGAAGGCCACACUCUAUUGUGGGGCUCCUGGUCCUUGUCUUCAUAGACAUUAGAGACAGGAAUAAAAAAAUAUUCCACCCCAAAUUAACCAAUCAUUCCUCCCGCGAAUUCAUUGCACAAAUUGCUUUCUAGUCCAUUUGGCAUUCUUUGGCGGUCAUCAUUUCGGAUGAAACCACUAACUAGUUGGUCGUCAGUCAAGUCAUGGAGAAAGGCCAUUUUGUGGACGCAACACCAAUUUAAGUGCAACCCGUGCGGCACACGAUGAUGCGCUUUCAGUUGAAAAACACUUUCCAGAUUCCGGAAAUUUUCCUUGGUUCGAGCACAGAUUGAAUUCCUAACCUUUUCCCUGUACAUAUUUUAGAUAUUCAGUGCCUUACUUGGAAUAUCAAUCAAAGUUUUUGGAGGAAAGAUGACUUGCUGAAUGCAUAACCAGUCCUGAUCUAAUUUUGCUAUGCUGCUAGUUGUUAUCGAACAUGUAACAGUACUGUAUGAAUCGGUAUGGCAGCAUGAACCAAAGAAGGCGAACUGUUCAGUGACUUGGGAGACUUGUCUCAGUUCUGCGGUUGAUACUGGCAGGCAAUUGUGUUUUGGUGACUCCUUCUACGAUGUCUUCUCUCAUGGGAAGAGAAGACUCCACUUUCCAUCUUUCAUUCCAGGGAAACGCGCUCUUAUUUUUAGAGUAAAAACACGCUCUUAUUCGAGAAUGGUUGAAUCGGCUUAAGGGCCGGCCAGCAAGAACUUAAUCAAAAUCAUUUUGUGGCAUGAAGGAAUCAGAGAGACAACCAAUCAGAAUUAUAGGGUUGUUAUCCACAAAAGGGGCUUAUCAGAAUGUUUACUUAUGCCAAAGUCCUGUAGUGUCAUGUCCAGUCCACACCCAUUUAGUUCACUGCUACUUUUCUUCCCUUUCUUUUAUGACAGCAGCGAUAGCAUUAGUAUAAUCUACUCUAACCUAAUCUAAGAGUAGCCUAACCGACGAGAACCUCUUGGAAGGCAACCACAUUCAAGUGACGGCCACAAUUGAGUGGCUUGACCUCCCACCCACCUACAAGCUUACUGCUACUACAAUUUAGGUUACUGCUACUUCCAAGAGCGGGCAUUCCGAAAACACAAGAGUAGACAUCAAAGGUGUAACCUCAUGAAAAGAAGCUUUAGCCCACAGCACCACAUUGCCAAAUGGGCACAUAGUCUUCUGACAAAUCAUAUUAGCACGUUGCAUGACUGUUUAGAAAGGCAUUUACCUCUGUCCUUUCCUCAAAUUUGAGGAACCAGUGAAUCAUCAUUUUUAUUAUAAAAGCCUCUUGCUUUUCGCAUCCAGUAUCCAGAAUCAUUUUUCCUAGGCUCCUUACAUCUCUACAAACUCUUCAUCCUCCUGUCGUCUCUCUACUUGAAUAACCAAUUCAAAAAGUGAUGUUAACCAGGAGUAGAACCCUUCCCUCAAGAAUUUAUAAUGGUGUUGUAAGUUGAUUUUCGGAACGUACCAAUUUCAGUGUGAUAAAAAAAAAAAAAAAAUUCUUUUGUUCUCUCAACUUUUCUAAAGCUACCCGUCUGUUCCAUUCUUUAGGUUGAAGAGAGGCAAGACUUCAGACACUAUUUGCAGGUGGAAGUCCAACCCAAACCUCAACAGGAAGCUGAAGCAAUUAAUCUGCAAGCUAACUAUUCCAAGUGCUUUGAUGAUGAUGGCCGGUUAAAGAGAACAGGUAAACAUCCCAACAAAAGUGGGCAGAUGAAUAUAAUACUUAGAAUACGCCGUGCAGAUUAGACAUUGGGAUUAAAUUUAAUACUGGAAAACUGAUGAAUUUACUACCAGUCCCUCGCAAAUUACAUCUCUCAUAUUACAUACAACCGACUCUACGUGUCAGUCUCUCAAGAAUUAAUUGCUCAAUCAUCAUCAUUUGCCAUUAAGCAAGCAGAUGGUAGACCAGUAUUACCCAUUGAAUGCCACCCAACAUACCUAAUAGGCUAUAACGUUUGCUGAUGCAGGAACUCUUUGGACUGCAACAUCCCAUAUAAUCACAGCCGUCAUUGGCUCCGGUGUGCUAUCAUUAGCAUGGGCUAUAGGACAACUUGGGUGGGUUGCUGGACCAACUGUCAUGCUUCUUUUUGCUUUUGUAAUUCUCUACACGUCCAACCUCCUAUCACAGUGCUAUAGGUCUGGGAAUCCUGUAACUGGACCACGGAAUUACACUUACAUGGAUGCUGUCAAGGCAACCUUAGGUAAAAAGACGUACAAGAAUAACUUUCCUAAUUCUUUUAAAGUUAUUAGUCAUUUAAUAUCAGAUUCCUAACGUGACGUUUUUGGAUUGCAGGAGGGAGAAAAGUAAAAAUCUGUGGACUAAUUCAGUAUAUCAAUUUAUUUGGUGUGGCUAUUGGCUACACAAUUGCAGCAUCAGUCAGCAUGAUGUGAGUUGGCAGUGUGAAAAUUAUACUAAUAUACCAAUUGAUAUGCUCUUCUAUCUAACCAAUGCAUCAAAAUAUGUGGAAUAUCAUGUCAGAUACUAACACACAGUGGAACUAUACUAUGCACUUGUCUCUUUUGUGAAACAGGGCAGUAAAAAGAUCAAAUUGCUUCCAUGAGAGCAAUGGUAAAGAUCCCUGUCAUAUGACAAGCAAUGGAUACAUGAUUACCUUUGGAAUCAUUGAAAUCAUAUUCUCCCAGAUCCCUGAUUUUGACCAAGUAUGGUGGCUGUCCAUAGUUGCAGCAGUUAUGUCCUUCACAUACUCUACUGUUGGUCUUUCUCUUGGCAUUGCCAAGGUUGCAGGUGCACACUAUACUGCUCUCAUUUUGCACUUGGGAUCCUCGGUGACAUGUUUUCUAUGCCAAUCUAAUGCCACCUAUAAUAUUGUGCUAAGUGUCCUGUUAUUAUUUACACUUAUGUUAAACCAAACUAAGUUGAAUUAUUAGAAAAUUAAAGUGUAAAUAAUAAUAGGACACUUGGCGCAAUACUAUAGGUGGCAUUGAAUUGGCAUAGAAAAACAUGUCACCGAGGAUUCCAAGUGCUCAUUUUGACAUGACCAAAGACAAAAAUUACUAUUAAAAGCAGAAGUGUGAAUUUCAAUUAUAUAUAUUAUCUCGUUUGCAACUUAUGACUAGAUGUUUGAUAUGCAUUUCGAAAGCUUAUUUACACAUGUAUCAUAUGGCAGUUAUACCACCAAGAUGUUUGUUUUGCAACUAAAGCAUGCACUUCUACUUUAUUUACGUUUGUCUGAUUUAUGCAAAAAAAAGGGAUCUAGUUUAUGUUCCUAAUUAGAUCAUUUAGUUCCAGGUUCUGGAACAAUCACCUUACUAUGCAGACAUCAAUCUUUUUCUUUAUUAAUUUGUGGCAGAAAAUAAAAGUUUCAGAGGAAGCCUAAUAGGCAUCAGCAUAGGUACCAUAACACACGCUGGAACAGUUACUGCAACACAGAAGUUAUGGAGGAGUCUACAAGCUCUAGGAGCCAUAGCAUUUGCAUACUCUUACUCCAUCAUCCUCAUUGAAAUUCAGGUUGACUGUAUUCCAGGUUCUCCCUCUACAAAUGAUAGUUUCCUUCCAAAUUUAGUUCAGAACAAUUUUCAAUUCAGAAGUGCUGAUGGAAAAACUUCAUGCACCCCCCGUAGGAUACCAUCAAAGCCCCUCCAGCUGAAUACAAAACCAUGAAGAAGGCAACUCUAAUCAGCAUUGCGACCACAACCGUAUUCUAUUUACUCUGUGGAUGCAUGGGAUAUGCUGCAUUUGGGGACGAUGCUCCAGGAAACCUUCUUACUGGUUUCGGAUUUUAUAAUCCAUAUUGGCUAUUAGACAUAGCUAACGUAGCCAUUGUCAUCCAUCUUGUUGGUGCCUAUCAAGUAAACCCAUGCAACCACUCGUUAACAUAUCCAUACUUCGCUUCAAACACUAAUAUCAUCUAUAAUGCUUAAAACUCACUUCCUUCAGUCAGACUAUCUAUAAGGCAUAUAAGAUAGAAUGUUGCUCACAUAGCUACAUGACUGAGAAAAUGCAGGUCUACUGCCAGCCGUUAUUUGCAUUUGUGGAGAAAUGGAGUGCACAAAGAUGGUCAAAUGGUGACUUUGUAACGGCAGAAUAUGACAUACCUAUCCCUUUUUAUGGCGUGUACCAGCUCAAUUUUUUCCGGCUGUCGUGGAGAACCGCUUUUGUAAUUGUUACUACUAUCAUCGCCAUGCUCGUGCCUUUCUUCAAUGAUGUUGUCGGCAUACUGGGAGCUCUAGGAUUUUGGCCAUUGACAGUAUACUUCCCCAUCGAGAUUUAUGUUGCUCAGAAGAAGAUUGGGCGAUGGACAACUCAAUGGAUUGGUCUACAGAUAUUAAGUGCAGCUUGUCUCCUUGUUUCACUAUCUGCAGCAAUUGGUUCAGUGGCUGGUGUCGUUCUUGAACUCAAAACAUACAAGCCCUUUAAAACUAGUUAUUAGGAGGAAAAGAUCGAGCAAAUGGAGGAGGAUAUAGAAGCAUUUUACCUGCAGUGAGAAAAGCAGUAUGUACUGGUUACUAAUCUAUAAAGAUGAAGGGAUGUACUAUAAAUUACGAGAACAUUGAUGUAUCAAAAUUACAGAGGGCUUCGAUGGGGUGGAUUGGAUGGCAGUCAUGCAAUCAUCAGUCAACAAUGAACGUUAAUAUAAAGCGUAAUUAUUAGGUAUAAUAAGCUGCCAAAAAAAACCACCCGCAUAAAUCUAAAAUAUGGUUUUAGACCAAUACUACACAGGUGCUUGUAAGAGCUUUUUUGCUUUUUAAUUUUUAACUUUGCUAUUCAUCAUGGAUGAUCUAUUUUCUACAGUUCGAUUCAAGUUUGGACUAAAGAUACACAAGUUACCGUAGCGUGAUUACAAAACAAACUAGUAUUUUAUCCCGUACUAUGCACGGGUUUACACGAGAAGGAGGCGAAAUAUGGCCAAACACAAUACUAUUAUCCCUUUCUUUCAUAUUCUUUCCCUUCGUGUCACUUUUGAAUCUAAUUUUCUCGCAUCCCUACAAACUUUCGUCGUUCCUUCAAAUUCUACUGAUUUUUUUUUUGUAUCCCUACAACCCUUUCUCAUUUUAUCAAAUCAUAUUUUCUCUUUGAUCUAUCUCGCUCCCACCCAAUUAUCAUAUCUCUUAUCCAAUUUUACAGCCCAUUUGUCUCCUAUUCUACCAUUAUUUUCAUCUAUUUAUAAAUGUAAAUGGUAACCUAUUUACUUGGCUCGCCUAUUAACAAAUGAGUUUGCGUGUGUAAUUUAAUUGGAUUCAAAUGGGUGACCAACUUAACCCAUUAAUUAGUGGGUAUGAAAUUGAUAGGUUUGGAUCACUUAUUUUGACUUAAUUAAAUUAGACGUAGAUUCAAAGUCAAUCAUUAGUGGGUAAAUCUAAAUUACUCUAAUAAUUAUAUUCUAAUUUUUGCAAAGAUGUAUUCAUAAUUUUUCCUCUUCUUUAAUUUCUAUUAUUUUAUUUUUAAAAAUUUAUCCAACUUCCUCCAUUCCUUUCAUAAAUGUUUAAUAAAUUUCAUGAAUGUUAAUUGAUUGUUUGCAUUACUACCUAAAUUAUUUUUAGAUAGUCGUAUAGUGACAAAAUUUGAAACUCACUAUGAUGAUCAUUUUUGGCUCCUUUCAGCAAUUUUUUUAUAUUUUUUCUCUUUCUUUAGGUAAAAAUUGAUUAUUAAGUUGAUAUGUUGAUAUGAUUUACUAUUUUGUUACUAAACAAAAUGUGGAUAAAAAAGUAAAUAAAAUUUAGUAGUGGGUCGUGAAUGAGUGAUUGGAUAAUCCAAAUCCAUAUAUAACUAUAUUCAUUGACUACUCGUUUAUUUUGAACCAUUAACUAAGUAGGAAUAUAUAGAUUAACCUAAUUAUAAUUUGUCCAAACUCACACGAAUCAUCAAAUUUGAUAACUGUCCCCUAAUCUUUACCUUCCCCCUAAUCUUUACCUUCCCUAACCCUACAGGUCUAUCUUUCUAAUCCUUUCACUAUUUAGGAUUCAUUAUCUCACUUUUUAAGUGUUUUUGGACAUAUAAAAAGUUAGAAUUAUUUUUCCAAGUUGCUGCCUCAUUUUUAAGUGUUUUUAAUCAAAUAAAAAGCUAGAAUUGCAAUCAUCGAGAAAAAAUAAACUUUCGAAUGUAAAUUUAGUGAAAUACAACCUUUUUAUCAAAAUUUUGCUAAAAUACCACCAAAAACAACCUUCUAAAUACACCUUUAUUAAUUUAAAAUUCAUACAUAAAUUUUUCUUUACAUACAUUUUUUGGUGUACAUGUGCUCAAUGAAAAGUCAUCUAGAUGCUUGCACGAUAUUGCUAUUGAGUUUAUUCUAAUUGCAAAUAAAAUAUCAUAAUUGUUAUUUACAUACUCCAAUUUAAUGUUAGAGUAUAAUUUCAACAUUCAAAUUUUAAAACUUUAAAAAAACAGACCUAUUGAUAAAUGAUUACUGUACCCAGAAGGAAAGCGAUAAAGAAAUAAUUGGGUUAAUAACUUAAAAAUAGGACUAAUUACAUUAUCUCAAGGAUUUGGCUAGAUAAAUUAAUCCUCUUUAAUGAAGGAAUAAAAGGGGUUAAAGUGAUAAAGAUAUAAUAGGGUGAAUAAUUUUAAAAUGAGACUAAUCAAUUAUUCUUGAGAAUUUUGGCUUGACAAAUGUAUUUUAUUUAAUUAAGGAGUAAAAAUGACUUAAAGUAUAAAUAAUAAACUGUAAACGGUUUAUGAAGGAGAUAGUGUGAAAGUUUUAAAAUUUAAAUUUGACUAAUGAUAGGAUUAGUUAUAACCCACUAUUUUAAAGUUUUUAAUUAGAUUUUAUAUAUUAAAAUUAAUACAAAAAUAUGAAAAAAAAGAAUGAAAAGUUUGGAAGCCAUUGAGAGGGUCUCUGUAAAAAAAACCACUCUACAAUACAUAUAGAUAUAGAUGCUGCCAGUUUUUGCGGCCAGGUCCAUUCUUUAUAAAGUCUUUCCUUAAAUGUCAGUCCUAAAAAAUAAACUAAAAUAAGAUAAUAAAGAAAAAACCGAUGCACCAGAGUGAGUCCUCAAUCGAAUCGAAAUCUACUCGAGUGAGGUAGGUAAAGAUCGUGUUGGAUGCGGGACUUAAUGCUGACCUGAGAGGGAGAAUUAAAGGCAAAGGUCCAAUCUCUUUAUUUGCCCACCAGCAGGCACCAUCCUAUGUUCGAUGAAAGCCAAGACAAAAGUAGUACUUUUUUAAGGAUGCGUAUUUAGUUUAGUAAUUUACAAGGCUGGAGGACUUAAUAUGGCCCUCUCUACUCUUUGUCUUAGUAUAAUGCGCGCAGAGGCUGUUUCCAGUUCUAGUUUCUGACGAAACGACGCUGCAGCUCUGUCUUGGCAACACAGGCUUACCAGUAACACGGACCAGACCUUCAUUGUCCCGUGUACAUACGAAAGUCCAGCCCAAGAAACGCUGACAAUUUUGCGAAGCCUAAUAGUGUCGCACAUGGAACUCUUUUUAACAUUUUACAUACCACUUCACAAUACUAUGAUACUUGGAUCCAAACGUGGGGGUUGACAAAUACUACAAAUUUUAAGUCGCUGGGAACCGUGACAGCAACGGGGAUACUUAAGAAAGACGGUGCAUCUUGUUGACAACAAAAUAUUUUGGUAAUGGACCUUUUAGGUUGAUUUUGAUCGUUUGCCUUAUGCUGAGUGGACACGAUGCAGGAUCUUAGUGACGUACCAGGACUAGGAGAUUGCAAAUAAUUGAGGAUUCGAUGUGAUCUACCACAAUAAAAUUGAUGGCACACCACAAUGUUCCCUGUCAAGGGCAAAGCGGAACACCCCAAAAGAGAGAGAGAGCACCUGUUACAAUCCCACGCCAAUACAUGCUAAUGUUGUUAAAUUCGAUCGGAUAGCGAUUCGGCUAAAUUAUUGAAUUAGAAAUUAAUUGGUUGAAUCGUUCUCGACAACUCGCUAACGUCAGCAUAAUGUUAUAUAAUUAUUUUAUAUUUUUAUAAGUUUUAGAAAUAUUAAAAUCAAGUUCUUCGUUAUAUUUGUUCAAUCAUAAAAGAUGUUCCAAAAAUAUUAGAUUUGCAAUCAAAUACAUACUGAAUAAUUAUAUAUAAAAAUAUAAAUUCAUGAUUAAAAUAUGUCUAUUCUUCAAAACUACUUGAAAAAUUAAAUUAAAACAAAUUAAUAUAAGUUGAAAUCACUGAUGCUAAAUUAAUGAGAUCAUAGGGAUAAAAAUAUCUUGAUUUAGAGAUUAUUUAAGAAAUCGGGUGAUUUUGAUAUUUACAUUAAAUGGUUGACGUUUUCUUAUUUCUACUGAUAAAUGAAAGUUUAAGUAACUCAAAUUAUAUUUGAAAAAAAAAGAAAAAAGAAAAGUUUAAAAAUUGAGUCAACCAGGCGAAUCAGGCCAUCGAUUUAACCAAUUUUUUAUGAUUUUAAUUGAUUUUUUAUCAAAGUAAUAAAUCAGUUCGAAAAGAAAAUUGAUUUACGGUAGGACUGGUUGAAUCGACCGGUCCGAUUCGGAUCUAACAACACUGGUACAUGCAUUUUGGGAAGGUCAGUUUUAAUCCUAGUCACAGUCUUACCCAAUUGGUGACGCCCGCAAACGUCCACUGUACCCUGGACCCCCUCACAAUAACUGCCAGAGUCGCUGUCACAAGCGCAAUUUAGUCAGGGAUGAGUGGUCAAAAAUAUAAAUUGGAGUGGACGUCAAAUCAUGCAUAAAGAUGUUGCUGAUACUUUAUUUCAUACAUAUAAAUACACUUUUUAUUUGGCGACGAAAUCAGGUGUGUCGAUCUGUCACUACAUAGUAUAAUCCAAGCAUAUGGGCUAAAAAAAUAAAAUAAAAAUCCAAGCAAGCAGCAAGCAUAUGGUGCCUACUUAAAAAUGAAAAAUUUCCAAGCAAAGCAUAUGAUUAGUCUGCAAGUAUGUGUACAAGUUGAUCAUGAACAGCAACAAAGUAUUUGGAGUUGAAGCGGUUGUUUCAAUUUCAAAAGCUCCAAAGCUUGUACUUAUUGGCAAACCAACCAAUCUUAACGAGAAGAAAGAAGAAAGAGAAGUAACCGCUCUCGGAAGCUUCGAAUUGAUCGAGUGAAGUAGGAUGAACUUAACAAGCAUUUGGCAUUCAUAAUACUUUUUGUCACAUGAGGAGGUCGAAAAAGAAAAUUCCCAGACAUUCCCUCCGGCUCCUACCACGAUCACCCCCGGAAAAAGGCUUAAAAGGCCACACGCCGGUGUCUCCCGACACUUAGACAUACCUACCCCUCGAAACGGCGCUAAUUAAAGACGAUCGAUCAACAAGCCAACCCAAAAAUAAUAAUAAACAACCAAAAGUGCUAGCUAGCAAGAUGUAGCUAGCUGCUUAAAGCUAAUCAAGCUAGAAUCUACACACCUAUCUCCCUAGUACUCGAUUAAAAAAAAAAAAAAAACACAUGAUGAUCAUGAUCAGGAUCAAGAUCAUUAAAAAAGCCUUCCUGGUAGCGAAUUAACGAGCAUCCAAACAUGGGUGAUGGAACCAUUUACAGGGGAUCAAUUUGAGUCACCACAAUGGGGCUCCGCACCACAUGCUUUCCAUCCACCCAAGAAAGUGAGCCGAAAACAGCACCGGAAUCACCAAUCACCAGAUUCUUACUGUCCGCGGUGACCGUCACAAAGUAGCUCAAUUUCCUCACUUUCUCCGUGAACACAAGUUUUGAGGGCUUCACAGCAACACCGACCCCCUUGGGUGCCUCCACCUUCACGCUGUAGACUGCAUUUGCUUCCCCGACGUUCGUCACUGUCCUGAAAAAGGUCUUGCUGGAAACCCCCGUGGAGGCACUCGAAAACGGUGCAGCAAUUGAGGGAUAGUUCAGGUUCUCAGGCAACGGCUUCCUCGCCGGGCAAUUCACCGGUGAUCUGGUGAUUACCUGAAUCGUCUUGGGGCCAUACUCAAUCGCGCAUAGAAAAUUCACGUAAUCACUAUUGGUUAAAUCAUAAACGAGCCCUGGAUCCAUGGCGAGACCGAGAUUCACGUGUCCAGCUCCAUAAUCGUAGGGGGUGGAUGGUUUCCCAGUUGCCUCAUCGAUCAUGGGAUGAAAAUUGUUGUCAAUAGUAGUAGCAGUAGUCAUCAUAGCAGACCUAAUUGCAGCGGGACUCCAAUCAGGAUGCGCGGAUUUUAGCAAGGCCGCCGCGCCGCUCACAUGAGGACACGCCAUGGACGUACCCGACAAGAUGUUGAACUCGGUCUUCCGAGUAUCCAAAUCCAGUCCCGUUGGACCGACCGCAUCAGUCCAGGCCGCCAAGAUAUUAACCCCAGGGGCUAUCAUGUCCGGCUUCAGUAUCUCGGGGUUCAAACCGUUGGGCCCUCUAGCUGAAAAAGAAGCCACCACGGGAGCCGGUUUGAUCCCAACUACGGUGCCCCCGAAAUUGAUCGUGGCAGUGGGAUUUGGAUGGGAGGCGGCAUAGGCUUUGAUGGCGUCACCUUCUGAAGCACCAACUGCACAAGUUGGAAGCAAAUGAGCAUCUCCAACAAGGCCUUCUCCGUUGGAAGCCCCAUUAGCCAGAAUCAUUCCCACACCUCCUGCCUUUUUCACCACUAGUCCUUUGGCCACUCUAGGAUUACUACCCCGGUCGCAAAUCACUAUUUUUCCUUCCACUGCGCUAGGCUCAAGUGAAUUCUCCAUGCACAGUGAAGUGGCCAGUACCCCGGAUUUACCGGGGUACACUACGGAGUACAUUUUCCCGUCCAGUGGCAACCCCGCGUACAGCGACACCCCGGAGAGUUUCCUACCGUCGCCAAGGAUAAUAUAAGCUGGGAAAUUCCGAUCAAUGGUGCCGGCUCCGACGGUGGUGAGCCAGGGAGCGAGGUUCGUCACGGACAUUCCAUUCGGCCCAUCAUUUCCAGCUGAAGACGACACAAAAACGCCCCGCGCAACGGCACCGUACGAUCCGAUUGCAAUUGGAUCGAGAUAAUAAGGAGAUGAAACGCCGUCACCGCCACCAAUUGAGAUGGAAAUCACGUCGACUCCAUCGGUGACUGCAGCGUCAAAUGCGGCGAGAAUGUCCGAAUCGAAGCAACCGGCACUCUUCCAGCAAACUUUGUACACUGCUAAUCGAGCUUUGGGAGCUACCCCUUUAGCUAUCCCGGCAGCAUAGCCCUCCAUGCUAGCUUCAAAAGCAUGCCGACCAGCAGCGGUGGAGGCCGUGUGGGUCCCGUGGCCGUCGGCAUCUCGGGGAGACUUGAACUCGAUAGUUUCAUUAAUCCCGCCCCCGAACCCUCCAAAACCAGGGGAAGCCUCGUGGCCUUUGGAGAAAAAUCUCGCUCCGACAAUUUUGCGGUUGCAGUUCUUGGUGGUGAACCUCACUCCGGCCUGGCAAACACCUUUCCAGCGAGCGGGGACCGGGCCCAAGUUCAGAUCGGAGAAGCUCCGGCGUUCGGGCCAAAUUCCGGUGUCAAACACUCCAAUAAUAACGUCGGAGCCAUAGUCGGAUUCGGACCAGAGACCCCUUUGGUUGCUAAGGCCCAGAAACUGAGGGGAGCGAGUGGUGUGGAGAUGUCGGCGGCGGUCCUCAAAAGCGGCGAGGAUAGAAGGGUGCUUGAGGACAGAGGCGGCUUGGGAGGGAGUUAAAGAGGCGGAGAAGCCGUGGAAAACUUUGUCGUAGACAUGGAGGAUGGUGGGAGAGGGGGUGAACUCGGAGGUGUACCAGUGGUAGUGGGUUGGGAAAAUGGUGGGCUUAAAAGAGCUGUCUAUUCGGAAGAUGUAAGUUUUGGGGGUUUGAUCAGGUGAAACGGCAACGGACUUUGAGACGGUAGUAAUUACAAGUACUACGAAAAAGAGGAGAAUUGGAGGAGGAAAUGAAGUAGCCAUGGGAGAAAGAAAGCUAGCAGCUCAGAGUCCAGCCAGAGAGUGUGAUGUUCAGACUUUUGAGACUGGGAUUUCCUCGUGGAGAGAUAAGAAUGAUGCUGGUGCAGCUGAGUUAUAGGAGGGAUUAUUGUCUCUCUCUCUCUCUUUUCUUCUUUUACUUAUUUACUAUUUUUUUUGUUUAAUUAAAGUAGGGUGGUAAUAAUUAAAGUUUUACUAGUGGUUAUUUUUGGUUUCAGGUGUGAAUUCUGUCUAAAUCAAAUUGGUUCAUCAAAAAUCUCGUAGAGAAAUUGAGCGUAAAUCUGAAUUAUUCAUCUCAUACAAUUAAAGACUAAAAAUUAGCAAUUACUACUGUACGAAUUUACAUAAAAUAUAUUUUGUUGGUUCAAAUACACGGACCGGUUUGAUUCCUUAUUUUGGCGGUUUUUAGAAUUUUCUCAAACAGAUUUCCUUAACACCAAAAAUAUACAAGUCAUGGGACGUUUUCUAGUUUAUUAUAAAUUUCUUCUAAUAAUGUUUGCGGACUAAGUAGAUAAAUUGAGUUAUUUAUGUACUGGUGGAGGUAGCAGACACUGAAUUAAGUAAAAUGUUUCUCUCAAGGUAAAUGAUGCGAAAGUGCCUACCGAAUUAGUUUCGUUUCUAAUUAUGAUGAAGCAGCAUGCCCAUCACUUUAUUGCAACCUCUCAGGUACUUCCACCAAAUAACUAAAAGUAAUUUAGUAGUAAUUGUCAUAUGCACUUUUAUUUAAAGGUUAGGAAGGCCAUUAAGUUAAUUAACUAUUAGAUCAUGGUACGAGGGUGACUCUAACGGAUGAAUUACCGGAGAAAUAAAAAGGGGGAAUUAUAAGUGAGUGUGUGUGGGGGAGAGUGGACAUGAUUUUGUCGUUUAUUUAUACGCUAUAAAGUAUAAAUUGAAGGCCACAUUGUUGAUGACUGCUGAGUCAUCAGACCUAUUUUGCGGGCGGGGGAACCAAAACAAAGCAAAAUUGGAUCUGCUACGAUUGAUUAUUGAUAGGUUUGGGGAGUGGGGUAUCACCAGCCAUCAGGAAUUCCCACAAUUCAAUUUUUGUUCCUUUGGAGUGGAGCGGCAAUCGCAUCUGUUUGGAAUAUGAGGUUUUUUUUAGAGUUUAUUUAAAAUUUUAUUGUAGAGUACUAUAGAAGUUUUUGAACAAAUUUUUUAUAGAAGUUUUGGUAGAGUGAAAAUUUUUUUUUGCUUUUUUUCUCUCUUUCUCUUUCUCUUUUUUUUUUUCUUUCUUUUCUUUUUCUUUUCUUUCCUCUCUUCUUUUUCUUCUUCCUUCCCCCACUCUUUCCCCGUUACCUCUGCCUCCCAGCAGCAACUCCACCAAUGCCACCUCCCGCCACUGCCUUCUGCCCACCAUUCCUUUCCUCCUCCUUCUGCCCACCACCCCCCUCUGCAACCCUUUCCUCCCCUUUCUCCCGCCACCCUCUCUUGUUCCACCAGAGCGCCUUCCCGUUCAAAAAUGGAUCCGGCGCCGGCGAUAAUAUCCCCGGAUUUUGACUCAUUUCAAAACUAGUUCCUUCAAGAAUUUCCAUCAAAUCUUCAGCAAAAUCAGAACCAACCCAUUGCUGUCUCUCUCUUUCCCUUUCCGACGGGCUAGUUUUCUCCACCGAAGCUAAACGAGCUAUUGAAGAGAGGUCACCUGCGGCAGUUGGGUGUUGCCUGGAUGAGGAGAACGGCCGGUGAGACGUUGGACCAAGUUCAUGAAGCCAGGCGCAUCUCCGCAGGAUGGGGGAGGAAACGACAGUGGUGGUGGGUUGGGAUGGGGGUGUAAUAACAAAAAAAGGGAAGGGAAAUUUUUUUUUUUUUUGUGUUUUGAAUAUUUUGAUGUGUAUAGGUAAAAAGUAUGGCGUCGGAACCAACAGUGCCAGUCGCUUUUCCCUGAUUUUUUUUUUUUUGCAAAUAAAAACUUGAUGGAUGGGGGGUGGGUCCUGAUGGAUUAUGCUAUUUUGAUUUGUUUUUGUCUAGUAUUUUACUUGCGAGGAUAUACGUUUAACAGGAUUGAUUGAUUGAUGCAACUAAUACUACCAGUUUUAAAAUUAAAAAACUUCCAUAAAAUGAAAAAGGAUUGAUGAAACGUUUGACAAAUUCGAAUAAUUCCAUGGUACAAUUGAUUUACAUGUGUCUGUCUGUCUGCGACCUUCUGCUUUUUCUUUUUCUCUUUUUUUUUAAAAAAAAAAAAAGUUCUUGCAUGGCUUGUUUGAAGUAACUCCAACAUAUAUGUUUCUAUUGUUGUGCUUUUUUUUUUUUGGGAUGUCAAUUUAUGUUUUGAACUUUCAAAGUUAGUGUCUAAUAACCAGUUUAAUUUACACUGAUCUCUUUCCAGUUUGGCAACAUGGUUAGUUUUUUUUCUUUUUUUUGGUAUUUUGCUUUAAUCAUCAUAUUAUGGGUUGCUGUUGUUUGGCAUUUCUUUUUUUUUUUUCUGUGUUUUAUUUAUUGUUCCUACAUUCUUAUCUUAUCCUGAAAUUGUGUUUUGUCUUUUUGACUAAAAUAUCUCUUACAUGUAUUAUCCAAUGCCAACUCAGAGUACUGUUGGUGGUAUGCAUAAGUAAUAAAUACAUGCAGUUCCAGUAGCGUUAGUGAAACAUGUUUGGAUCCUAUAGUUUUUCAAAAAUUAGUUUUUUAAAUAUUAUAAAAAUUUUUAAAAAGUAGGUAUUCUAUCUAAUUUUUUUUUAAUAUUUAAAAAAUAUCCCAAAAAUAUAUUUUAAAAGCUCUACUACUCUUAAAUAUUUCAAAAUAUUUUCUAAAAAUAUUCCAAAAUACACCCUAAAAAUUCUGCUAUGAUAAAAUUUUUUAAAAAUACCUUAAAAAACAGCUAAUCCAAACAAUAUCCCUGCAGAAAUAUCAUGAUCUUCUUCAAAAGUUGGUAGUAUUAUACGGCGUGCAUGAUUUAGAGGGUGAGACUCGAUGGCUGAUUAAAUUUGACUAACACUGAUUGGCUCCCUAAAAUAUCUUCCCUGUCAAAUUGGUAUAGCUAAGUCCUUAAACAUGAAUGAAUACCAAGACACCAUACAUCGAGUUCGAUCAUCCUUGUUCCCCAGUUUAUUCCAAUCAUAAACAAGAUUUUGAUCAUCAGGUCAGUCAGAAAGUUCGACAUUGGAAUCUUCCGCACAGUACAACUCCUACCACUACUGCGAGUAUUAGUAGUCAGCGUCCGUUAGUUUUGGGAUGAACACCAAACAUGCGGUACUGGGCCGUUCCUCGUACACAUCCUCUGCUACGUAGGAGUACCGUGUUUAUGCUGCAUGGGAGUAUAUAUUUCUCCCUCCCUCUCUCUCUUUUUUUUUUUUUUGGCAGCCGAAGCAUCAUCUUCUUGAGCUUUCAGCGUAGUACAUGUGGUGGGGUCCUGCAAAAUGAUCAGAUGUCUCCCAAUCCCAUUCAGUCCCAGGAGAAAAGCCAGAUGCUUGCUCAUCUAAAUCUAGACCGUCAAAACUGUUGGCCCCCCCCUCAAUCAUGGCUUCCUUCACGCUCAAGGUUGUUGCAGAAAGAAAGAAAGGGCGCCAAACUGCUGCAAUUUGAUUUCCGUGCCAAACUGCUCUAAAAAGUUAAAGGGCAGCCCGAUCGAGUUGGAUGCAUCUCUGACUAGUAAACUUUUUUAUUUUAUAGUACUGCUCUGCUAAUUGAGGUCCCAAAGUUAAAUGUAAACCCAAUUUGAUGACAAGUGAAUUGAACUCGAAAAGCAACAAGGAAGUAGUAUAUGGUACUGUAUAUGGUUGAAGUUGGAGGAUUGGGUCGACUUGAUUUCCAUCGUUUCAGGUAGUUAAUAGGAGGAGGAUCUUGAUUUGAUAACCGUCGGAUGGGAUGGGAGACUGUCGGCCUUACCAGUUACUUACUAGAGUCACAGGAAGGUGGCUCAUACAAUUAUGGAUUCCUUGCUCCUUCGCAUGCUACUGCUGUUGCACGAAAACGAAACCAAACUGCAGAUUGUAAAUUGUAAACAAAAGAAUGAAACGGUGCGUGACGGCAAUCAUCCAUAGGAUACUCCAUUCCCUUAAAGAGGUUCACAUCAGUUGCGUUUUUAAAUUCAUUGUGAUGCUUCUCCAUUUUUUAGUGGUCGAAAAAAUAAUCAAUUUCUUUUGCACUUUUGCAAACCUGCGAUUCAGGAUUUUUUUUUUUUUUUUGUGGGGGGUUUAGCAACCAACCAAUAAAGAUUUAGUAGUACGUGAUAGUUUCCCAAGAACUGUGCAGUAUAUGGAUACAUAUGCAUCCAUGGCUCUAAGUACGCAAGUAAUCAUGUGUGGUAACCAAAAACAUGAGUUUGUCAUGUUUCGGCUUGUAAUGACCACCCCCGCACACACACACACAUACACGAAAAAGAACGGACACGUGUAGGAGUAGUUGGAGUUGGCGAGUGGGACACUUCCAUCAAUUUCGCCACCGAUCACUGACCAAGCUUUCUUCCGUAAUUCUUAACAACAGGUCAUCAUCAUCUUAGCUAAGCUACUUCUGUUUUCGUUUUUCACGGCUGAAGGGGACUCUCUCUCGAUUAUAAUAAAGCUUUUGCUCUUUGACGAGGAAGAUUUGUCAUCCAUAGGUCCAGUAGUAGAUGAAAAUAGAAAGGCGGCAAUGCUAGAUGACCAGGUGAUUUCUAGACUGAUAAAUCGAGUCUACGGCACAAGCACACCUAUCAAGGUAGAGACACAAUCGAUACUUUGUCCUCGAUCUAGCUUCGAUGCUAAAACCAGUUAUGCAAAAGAUCAAGAAUAAAAGCAACACUAGUUGGACUAGAGUUAUGAACAAGAGAGAAAUUAAACCUAAAAAUCUUAUCGCUCUCCUCACAAAGGGAGGGGAGUAUUUAUAGUAAAAUAACUGAUAAGAGGAAUGAUGGAACCUACUCCUUGUUACCUACAAGGAGUCAGCCUAUGACGGUGGUGUCAGACAUAGGUCUGGGUAUAACAGCGGUGAUAGUCAUAUCAAUCUGUCUAAUAAUAGUUAGCUUUUGCUUGUAGGUAUCAGAUGCCGAAUAACUAGACAGGUCCAAUCGAAUGAGGUGGCCUCACAUCGGGAGGACAAAGAUGAGGAUAAACACCAAGAUAGUCGAGGUGAUCACCUCGACCUAAAAUGUGUUGGAUUGAGUCAUCUCGGUGAUGAGUUAAGUUGAGAAAGCCAAGGUGAGCGUCCACACUAGACACUCAAAUUAUUGAUGUCAAUUGAGCUCCAAGAAAUUGUAAUAGAGUAACAAACUAAGUAAUUGGCCACUAGAGGAGGGACUAAGUCCCUCCCUAAGCGUAGGUUAGGGUUGAUCCUCCUUGACUGUGUUUUUUCUCUAGAGUUUUUUGAGUAUUGCCAAAAGUUAUUUAACUACUUUCGAAUAUCUCAAUAGAUUAAAUAGAUUCAUUCCCCUUCCUUUCCCCUAGUAUAGGAUCAAUUGUAAUAAUAUUGUACUAAAAAAAACAACAGAGUAGCACAUGAGUUAGAACACUAUGUUAAAUAAGGUUCUUCAGUGGACUCCAUACUUAGCUCACCUCCAAAUUUUGAAAAGCAAUUAAUGUUGGAUGAUUUCUAAAAAUGUGAGUAAUAAAAUUUACUUUGUUUUCUACAUAAAAGAAAAACAAUAGAUCAUUUUACAUUUAUUCAAGUCUCUUAGUGCUCAAACACUUGCAAAUAUAAGACGGUCAAUAUAAUAAUAGGGAUUGAACCUUUUCAAGUAGUUUUAAUUACUUCGACUUUUGAAAAAAAAAAAAAAAUAUAUAUAUAUAUAUAUAUACCAUAAUUGAGCUAAAUGCAUUGUACUUGUUUCGAAAUCUAUAUAUCAAGGAACAUAUUUUUCCAAUUUAACCAUUUGCAACUCUAAAACGUACCUCUAUGAAAAGAAAAAAAAAUCAUGAUCUUGGAGCAGUUGGUAAGAAGGUUGCUAAUACUAAUGGGAAAUCGCAAAUUGGAUUCCUGCAUGUGGGCUUCAGAUUCUCUGUCCCCAAAAUAGUAUCUGACCCUUUGUUGUACAACUGUCAUGUGUCUCUAUCCUUUUGUUAACCCAAACUCAAAUAAAUCGAUAAUAAUCGGUUUACAAGUUUUGUUAACCCAAAUUCAAAUAAAUCGAUAACUCAAAACUUUUUAGAUAUUCAAAUAAACCGAUAAUUCAAGAAUGUUAGAUAUUGGAAUUUGAUUCUCAAAAAAUCAUCUGCUGGAUAAAAAUAAAAGAAUAGUAAUAAAAUUUCAACCACUCUUACUAAGUACACCUAAAACACUGCUAAUACUUGAAUAACCAUGGUUUAUCAUGUUGGUUUGUAAUAUCAAACCCUUGCCUAUUCAUAAUUCAAAAUUUCUAAAGAUUGUCGGAUUUUCCAUCUGUUGUGCAUCUACAAACAAAACCACCGGGACAUGGCAUGGGACAGCCGCAAAUUUCAUUACAAGCAACUAAACUUGAACUCGGUUGUCUGGAAAUGACAUUAAGGUCUAUAAAGUCAUUGACACUUGAUCCACUGAAAUUGUGUCCUACUUCAACCUAUAAAUGUAGAAAAAAUAAUUAUAAGUACUAAAAUAUUGAGAUGAAAUUCUGUUAAAAAGAAAAUAAAAAAAAGUUUUGAGUUAUCGAUUUAUUUGAGUUUGGGUUAACAAAAAGAUAGAGACACGUGACAGUUGUACAACAAAGAGACAGAUGGGACAGAGACUAUUAUGGGGACAGAGAAUCUGAAGCCCCUGCAUGUGACGCCUUAAAAAGUUCUGGUUCAAACCUUCACCUCUCGAGUAAGAGUCGAAUUUUGCGGGCACUCCCAGAUCAAAUCUGAAUUAGACUCACUGAUGGUGUGAAUACUGGGUGCUCAAAGCAAAAAUAAAAAAAUAAUAUUUGUUUAAUCCGAGGAAAGGGGAAAAGAGAAUAGAGCUAGAUGCCAGAACUGCUUUUAGUCACUUCCAUGGACCAAGCCUUGUAAUGGUCUUAAGGUUGGAGCAGCAAAAGCUGCAGGCAUUGGAGGACGUGGAGCAACUAAGGUCGCCCGAGUAACAACUAAGGGCCUAGGCCUACAUUUGCCGGUCCAUUAGUACUGGGCGAAGGAACCGACGCCCACGGACACGGUGCCUGAGUUUCCUGAGAGAUCUUUUCAUUAAUUGUUACUUAUGAUGUAGUGCUACUACAGUGCUAUAUUUUUCUCCCGUCUGGACUCAUGUAUAGUCCUCCAAAUUUAUUGAUUUUUUUAAUAAUCAAAAUUACUGAAAAAUACAAUUUAAAGUGAAACCCACAAAUUAACACCAUUAAAUCAAUUGAUAAUUGAAAGUGCUAUUGAGGACCUUAAAUUCAGGAUAACUACUCCACAAUCUUUCGAUGUGGAAUGAGAAGCUUAUACAAUUCUGAGUUUUCAGAUUAUGGAAAAAUUUGGAUUCAACACAAAUAACAAAACUUAGUUACACUGCCUAUGCAUAUGCACUACACAUUUUAUGGUGCACAGCUUCAAACAAUUAAAUUUAUGGGGCAUAGAACCACCAUUAGAAUCUAAAACAUUUAUUAGUCACCAUAAAAAGGCUCGAGUAUCUAAGUAACAAUAAUGUUCGUAUAUUUUCCAGUAGUCUUAAUUUUGUUUCAACAUCAUUGAGUUGGUUGUUGCAGUAGGCCUGCUUUUGUAGGAAGCAUCAAGAAUGAAGUGAUAGAUUGCUAUUCCAGCUUGGUACUCGUGCAAUCACCAAAAUAUCAGUCAUCAUUGUUGUACACAAAAUUGAUGAUACAGGUUAAAAAGAAAAAAAACAGCAACACUUGGGAAUCCUAUACAGGUUACAGGCUUACAGCUGGAAGGAAGAACCGACGGAGACCUGAUAUAAUUCAAAAUAAAUAUAUAACUGAACAGAUGUGCAAGAGAGCACAGUAAUGUGAAAGUAAGUAGGUCCAGGAUGGAAAAUACCAAAUUUAUGAUUUAAGAGCUUUUAAUUUCUGAUACGCAAAUUUGGGGUUGAACUACUUGGUAAAAUUCAGUUAGCAAGUAUCUACACUUUCUUUUGAAAGUUUCAACCCUUUGUGAAUUGUGAAAGACGCGGUGAUGCAAACAACCUUUCAUAGAUUUUUUUGAUAGUCGAGUUCUUUAUCAUCAAUUAUCAAGGAGUUGAGCCAUUUGGACUUGGCGUUUGGUAUUUUAUGCCGACGCUUCAGCAUCAUUGGUACCUGCGGUCAAUGUCAACUUUAACCUCUUCUUUUCUUCUCCAGUCUAUUUUUCCCGCAUAUUUUUUUUACCAUACCCCGACUACCGUAUUUACUUACUUACGUAACGAUGCUGUCAAAAGAUAUACUAUAGUGCUUUGUUUUGCAGCAUUAAAAGGCUCAAUCAAGGAGCGUGAACCUUUGAAAGGCAGAAUGAUUGACUGGUAGAAACCUUUGCGCGUCCACCCUAGAAAAAAGAUUUAAGGACUGAGCACGGAGGGAUCUAUCUAAAAUUAAAGGCGAUCGAUCGGUGAAAAAAAAGUGGCGUCUGAAAAAGCAAAUUAUCACCGGAUAAUGUUAUUAAUUAGUACAAGAUUAGCGCUAGGAGUAAGGUUACAAUUAUCACCAGAUCCACUUGGAAAAAGAACAGACAAAAGGCCUCUCAGGUCGGCGGAUGGAGUCAUUAGGUAAAGUAAGAUGCCAAAACACAUGACUUUGACACGUCUUUAAUUAUUCAGUUGUUCAUCUUUAAUGAUUCAUUUGACUCUAU
rnacentral:lncRNA from 1 species